rnacentral:misc_RNA from 1 species
AUUCUUCAACCCAAUUGUUUAUUAAAAGCAGUUGGUGUUUGGAUUCUGAGCGCUGCUGGCUUCGGCCUAGCUCGUUCGUAAUACAUCAGCAUCCCUAAUACAAGUUUGGAUUGACUUGGCGUAAUAGACUAUUCGCUAAGGAUCAAUGUUCGCAUUGAGCCAACUUACUUAAGGAAGCUUCUAAUUGAAAAGUCUACCUUUAG